AUGCUGACGAGCGGCGGACGGGUGAGUAAUGCAUAGGAAUCUGCCCGGUAGUGGGGGAUAACCUGGGGAAACCCAGGCUAAUACCGCAUACGUCCUACGGGAGAAAGGGGGCUUUGGCUCCCGCUAUUGGAUGAGCCUAUGUCGGAUUAGCUAGUUGGUAGGGUAAAGGCCUACCAAGGCAACGAUCCGUAGCUGGUCUGAGAGGAUGAUCAGCCACAUCGGGACUGAGACACGGCCCGAACUCCUACGGGAGGCAGCAGUGGGGAAUAUUGGACAAUGGGGGCAACCCUGAUCCAGCCAUGCCGCGUGUGUGAAGAAGGCCCUCGGGUUGUAAAGCACUUUCAGCGAGGAAGAACGCCUGUCGGUUAAUACCCGGUAGGAAAGACAUCACUCGCAGAAGAAGCACCGGCUAACUCCGUGCCAGCAGCCGCGGUAAUACGGAGGGUGCAAGCGUUAAUCGGAAUUACUGGGCGUAAAGCGCGCGUAGGUGGCUUGAUAAGCCGGUUGUGAAAGCCCCGGGCUCAACCUGGGAACGGCAUCCGGAACUGUCAGG
rnacentral:rRNA from 1 species